CCCGCCUCCAUGAAGUUGGAUUCGCUGGUAAUCGCGCAUCAGCCAUGGCGCGAUGAAUACGUUCCCGGGCCUUGUACACACCGCCCGUCAAGCCAUGGGAGCUGGGGGGUGCCUGAAGUUCGUGACCGCAAGGAUCGACCUAGGGCAAAACCGGUGACUGGGGCUAAGUCGUAACAAGGUAGC
rnacentral:rRNA from 1 species